rnacentral:tRNA from 1 species
UUCUUGGCAGUCCAGUGGUUAGGACUCAGUGCUUUCACAACUGUGGACCUGGGUUCAAUCCCUGGUCAGGGAA